rnacentral:rRNA from 1 species
AUACGUAGGGGGCGAGCGUUGUCCGGAAUGAUUGGGCGUAAAGGGCGCGUAGGCGGCCCGGUAAGUCUGGAGUGAAAGUCCUGUUUUUAAGAUGGGAAUUGCUUUGGAUACUGUCGGGCUUGAGUGCAGGAGAGGAAAGUGGAAUUCCCAGUGUAGCGGUGAAAUGCGUAGAGAUUGGGAGGAACACCAGUGGCGAAGGCGACUUACUGGACUGUAACUGACGCUGAGGCGCGAAAGUGUGUGGAGCAAACAGGAUUAGAUACCCUGGUAGUCCACACUGUAAACGAUGAAUGCUAGGUGUAGGGGGUAUCGACCCCUUCUGUGCCGCAGUCAACACAAUAAGCAUUCCGCCUGGGGAGUACGGCCGCAAGGUUGAAACUCAAAUGAAUUGACGGGG